rnacentral:misc_RNA from 1 species
UUUCCGUAGGUGAACCUGCGGAAGGAUCAUUCAUAAUAAAGUGUUUUAUGGCAAUUUUUAAAAAUCCAUAUCCACCUUGUGUGCAAUGUUAGAUCUCGUCAAUCUUGGCGAGAUUUUUAUACAUCAACUCAUUCUUUAACUAAUUUGUCUGAAAAAUAUUAUGAAUACUUAAUUCAAAUACAACUUUCAACAACGGAUCUCUUGGCUCUC